rnacentral:lncRNA from 1 species
CACCGCAAUGCAAUGCACCAUAAUGUAAUACAACUAAUCAAUAUAAUGUAAUGCAGUGUGCCAAACGCACCCUUGACGCAUUGCUUCUUCUUUUUUUAUUUAAUUGGAAACCUUUGAUUUUUGUAAUUGCUCUUAUUUUUUUCUAAUCGGAAAUUAACAUUUGAUUUUUGUUAAACCUACGUUUGCUUUGUUGGUCUACCAAACUUUAUACAAUGGUAUAAAACUAUAAAAUACACUGUAAAUUGAAUGAUAAGAAUAAAAAUUUCGAGAGCCACAAAAACUUGAGAUUAGAACAAAGAUAUGAAAUGGCCAAAUGGAAAAAUUAGUCAAUACGAAAAUGGCCAAAUUGAAUGAUAAGAUGGAGGCUUAGUCUGAAAAUUACUCAAUAUGAAUGACAUUAGAAAUUAGUCAAUAGGAAAUGGCCAAAUGGCAGAACAAAAAUAAGUCUAAUCCUAUUGUUAAGGCGUCCCCCACUACCUUAAGACAUGACCACGUGACACGUGUGGAUAUCCUCUCCGCCAUCACUUUCAAAGAAGCCUCGCAAUUCACAAGCUUAAUUAAUUCACUUCUAAACUGUAUACUUAUGGUUCAUGCAAAUUGACAUUUACAAUAACUUACAGUGCAGCUAAAUUACAAGUUCACUCCACCAUUGAUCCUACUAUAUUACUUAUAUUCACACUAAUAUGAUUGGUUGUAAGUUACUAUAAUGGUAAAUAAGCAAAAGCUUAUAUUUAUUAUUUUAUAUAUGAGUGAGUUUCCAAUCAGGCAUCCUUAAUUAUAUUGA